rnacentral:snoRNA from 2 species
ACGACCUUACUUGGACAGGAUCUGUUCUGUAGGUUGUACAUCUGUAUCCUUGAUUUCUAAGGAGACAGGAACCAAAGUCUGGUGGGGAUGAACCAUGACCGUUGGGAUCAGAGGGUGAUUAGCCAGCUUCGAGGUCUUCGAUCAUUGUGGCAGUAGAGGAUCGUUCUCAGUCGCUGAUAUCAAGCUGGCUGGGCCGCUGGGGUGGUCACAGCCUCACAGGGUUGUCUGACAGACC